rnacentral:lncRNA from 1 species
GUAUUUAUCUGAAAAAAAUGAAAACACUAAAUUGAAAAGAUAUCUGCAUCCCUAUGUCCACUACAGCAUUAUUUACAAUAGCCAAGACGUGGGGACAACCUGUGUCCUUCAAUGAAUGAAUCAAUAAAGAAAGUGUGGGGUAAAUGUAUACACAGUGGAAUAUUAUUCACCCAGAAAAAAGGAAUAAAACCUUGUCAUUUUCAACAACAUUAACAAACCUCAAGGGCAUUAUGCUAAGUGAAAUAAGGCAAAUAAAGACAAAUACCGUCUGAUCUCACUUACAUGUGGAAUCUAAAAAAACCAAAACAGUACCCCUCCCCUCCCAAACUCAAGCUUAUAGAUACAGAGAAUAGAUUGGUGGUUGCCAGAGGUAGGGGUGGGAUUAGGGGGUAGGAGAAAUGCGUGAAGGUGGUCAAAAGGUACAAACUUCCAGUUAUAAAAUUAAUAAGUCCUGGGGAAGUAAUGUCCAGCAUGGGGACUAUAGUUAAUACUGUAUUGUGUAUUGGAAAGUUGCUAAGAGAGUAGAUCUUAAGUUUUCACCAUAAGAAAAAAAAUCUUUUUUAACUAUGUAAGGUGAUGGAUGUUCACUAGACAUUGUGUUGAUCACUUUACAAUGUACACAAAUAUUAAAUCAUUACAUUGUACAUCUGAAACGAAUAUAGUAUGUCAACUAUACCUCAAUAAAAAAAUUAAAAAGGGAAUAUAGAAAAUGAAAAAAGAAAAAGAAAAUAGGUGUUCCAUUGUUUGUUCGAUUUGGAAACCCUUGCUUUCAAGGGCACUUCUUAAGAGAAUGAUUUUGUCGAAUUGGAACAUUCUCUAUAGUGGCCUUUGUAAUUCUAGGUUGUCUUAGUACGACGUUGUCAUUUUUGUAGACAUCUAUCCAUUCUGGGACCACAGCUCUUACACAUAAAGUAGGCAGGUGUACUGAAAGGUGGGGCGCUCAGUCUUGGAACCUUGAGGAUCCCAUCGCUUUAGCUAAGCCUUGGGUCUCUCAGAGGCAAAUUAAUACCUCAAAGGGAUGUAGCACAGGGCUGGGGAUUUUGUAGUGUUUUACAAUGUACCUCGGUAUCAGAAAUUUUCUUGAGGUUGGCAGGUGACCUAGUGUCAAUUUAUCUCUUCGGUGGCCACCUUAUCCUAGCAGGGGAAUCUCAGAGUUAGAUGGUGAGCCCUCUUACAGCUUUUAAGUGCUUGACCUGCGCCCAGCAAUUUUGCUGCUUUGGCUUCCAAGAUUCCUCUUAGCAAUAGAUCUAUUAUUCUUUUCACGAGAAAAUUUCUUUAUAGUGGCUUUUAAUAGUCCAACUUUUACCUACUUAGAUUUUGGCAUGCCAUUGGUCAAAACAGUCCAGAUUUCUUGUUUUAAUCUAUUUCCCCAAGUCCCCCAAUGGUUUAUGCUGUGGACUUACCGGGAGGUUUUUGUGAGUCCCCUAACAGCUGCCAUCUUGCACUCUUUAAGACUGAGGAGUUCCCGUUAUUUUUCUCUUGCUGAAAUAAUCCUAAUUCAACCAGACAUGUUUCUGGCUGCCUGUGCACAGUUCCUGAGACUUGUCAGGACCACCUGAAGGCACUUACCUUGUAGAUGAGGUCACAAGGUGAAAAAUCUGGAAUCUCUCAUACCUCAGUUUUUCCAUCUGGAAGGACUAGGACAAACAAACUUGAAGAGCUCGUAACGCAAAAUAAGCGGAGCUCCAACCAAGGGAAGCUUAGAGAGCAGCUCAUCCCAGAUCCCUGAGAGCGGCCCAAGGGGCAGCAACCCAUAGGACUCGGUGGGUACCUUCAGCAGCGUCUGGACGCCGUCCUGACACUGCGGCAGCUGACUUCGGGUCCCAUCUCAUUGCGAAAACUGUCAAAUGACAAAACUAAAACAACGUAGUAAGGAGUUUGAGGUCUUUUGUUCAAGGGAAAACGAUCCAUGGAAUCGGGGGAGCACUCUUCCCAGGGAUGUUGGGCAGCACUGAGUUAUAUAGCGCCUUAGAAGAGGCAACGUGGAAACUCGUGAUUGGCUAGGAGGUCGGGGGUUUCCUUAUAAGGCAGAAGGUCCUGUUUUCUAGGGUCAGAUAAGAGCCAAAGCUGAGCUGGAGGAUUGUUAUUUGUGUGUGUUAGGUUUCCUUGACACGUGUUUCCAGUAAGUGCAAGCUGACUUAGGUUUAGAUUUGUGACAUGGGCUGGCCUCCAUUUUAUGGGUCCUCAUAUACCAUUACCUUUAUCAGGGCCAGUUGGUAUAAACAGGCCUUUGAUUAAACUCCUCAGUUGCCCAAAAGCAAGAUGCUAUGAGAGCUCUUUCUCACUUUGUAGAAAUUGAAGCCUUUUAUCAGCUGAAUUUUCUAUGCUAAGAGGGAACUAGCUGAAAUAGUGGUUCUCAUUUCUGGCUUCACCAUUAGAAUCAUCCCUGGAACUUUAAACAUUUUUUGUAUUUUUAAAUUUUACCAGAUUCUUUGGAAUUUAGGCCCCAGCCUCACUCCCAAGAUUCUGAUUUAACUGGUUGCUUGUGGGACCUUCACAGCAGUUCUUUGGUGUUUUUUUUUUUUCUUCUCUAACCCUCCAAAGGUGAUUCUAACGUGUUUGUGAUUCACUGGUGUAAAGGUGAGGCAGGGUAGUGAAAUCUAAAAGUAUGUUCAAAAUCCGUAUGGUUAAUUAUUGAAAUAUAAAGCAGAGAUAAUUAAACGAGAUAAUGUUUGUGAACCUGCUGGGUACAAAGCACUGACAAGUGUUCUUGGAGGAUGAUUAAUAGAAAAUGAAUUUCCCUCCAGCAUAGGAUUACGUUUUUGGCCUUUGUCUGUACGUCCAGAACCUCUUAGACCUGUUGAGAGAGCCACAACCAUGAGGACCAAGAAGUAUGGUUGUGUAGGUUAAGCCCUGCCCAAAGGUUCCUGGGUGAGUUGAGAAUGGAAUCCAGCCCACCACCAAGCUGUGAAAUGGCCGCCAUAUUAAAACUCUCACACAGGUACCGUGUUCUAAUAGCAGCUGUGACAAGAGGGCCUGAAUCAAAAAGCUGCCCACUUCCUCUCUCUUCCAAAUUUAGGGUGCCGUGAGGACAAAUACGAAUUUAAAAUAAGAGGCUUCAUUCCCCCUGUUGAAAAUAAGGGAAGAGAUUUCCCUCCCCACCCUUUUGGUCAGAAUAUUUACCUUAGAAAACUUGCAAGUGGAAUUAUUUUCUCUGUCUUUUUGAAAAGUAUCUUUUUGGAAACUAAAUAAGCCUUUGUCAG